rnacentral:rRNA from 1 species
GACGGGGGAUGCAAGUGCUAUCCGGAAUCACUGGGCGUAAAGCGUCUGCAGGUGGUUUCCUAAGUCCACUGUUAAACCUUGAGGCUCAACCUCAAAUCUGCAUUGGAAACUAGGAGACUUGAGUAUAGUAGGGGUAGAGGGAAUUUCCAGUGGAGCGGUGAAAUGCGUAGAUAUUGGAAAGAACACCGAUGGCGAAGGCACUCUACUGGGCUAUUACUGACACUCAGAGACGAAAGCUAGGGGAGCAAAUGGG